rnacentral:tRNA from 1 species
GGGCGAUUAGCUCAGGUGGACAGAGCACAAGCCUCCGGAGCUUGGGGUCGGGGGUUCGAGUCCCCCAUCGCCCU